GGGGGGAAAAUUAAUAAUUUAUAAGUAAUAAAAGUAUUUUUUAUAUUAAAAUUGGGGGGUUUUAGUAUUAAUAAAGAAAAAAUUAUAAAUUUUAUAGUGAAUUAGUAUUUUAUAAUAAAUUUGAAAUAAUUUUGAAAAUAAAUUUAAUUAAAAGUAAAUUUAAUUUAUUGUAUCUUGUGUAUCAGAGUUUAUUAAAAAUAAUUUUGGUUAAAAUAUUUCUCGAAUUUAAAAGAGAUAAUUAAUUAAUAAAGUUAUUGUUGCAUAAAUAUUUUUAAUAAUUAAUUUGAAAUGAAAUGUUAAUCGUUUUUAAAUAUAUCUAGUUUUUUUAGAAAAAAAUUUAAUUUUAAUUUUUUUUUAAUAAAUUAUUAAUUAAUUAAUAAUUUAUAAAAAAAAAUUUAUAUUUUAAGGGAUAAGCUUUAAAUUAAAAUUAUUAUAAAUAUUAUUAAAAUAAUUAAAAAUUUUAAAAUUUAUAUUGUUUACAAUUUUUAAUUUUUUAUAAAUUAAUUUUAAUUUAAUUAAAAUUUUAAUAAAAAUUAAUUUUUUAUAAAAAAUUAAUUUUUAAUUUAAAUAAAUAAAUUAUAAUGAUAAAAUUAGUAUUUAUUAAUAAAAAAUAAUUAUUUUUAAAAAAUAUAAAUAUAAGGAAUUCGGCAAAUUUAUAUAUUCACUUGUUUAUCAAAAACAUGUCUUUUUGAAAAUAAUUUAAAGUCUAAUCUGCCCACUGAUAAUUUAUUAAAGGGCUGCAGUAUAUUGACUGUACAAAGGUAGCAUAAUCAAUAGUCUCUUAAUUGGUGACUUGUAUGAAAGAUUGGAUGAAAUAUAAUCUGUCUCAUUUUUAUAUAAAGAAAUUAAUUUUUUAAUUAAAAAGUUAAAAUGAAUUUAAAAGACGAGAAGACCCUAUAGAGUUUAAUAAUUUAUUUAAUUAAAAUUAUUUAUAAAAAUAAUAAUUAAAAUUAAUAUUAUUAUUUUGUUGGGGGGAUAAAAAAAUAAAAAAAACUUUUUUUUAAAAAAAAAUCAUUAAUAAGUGAAUAAAUGAUCCAAAAUUAUUUUGAUUAUAAGAAAAAAUUACCUUAGGGAUAACAGCGUAAUUUUUUUUUUUAGUUCAUAUAAAAAAAAAAGUUUGCGACCUCGAUGUUGGAUUAAGAUAAAAUUUAUAUGCAAAAGUUUAAAAUUUUGAUCUGUUCGAUCAUUAAAAUCUUACAUGAUCUGAGUUCAAACCGGUGUAAGCCAGGUUGGUUUCUAUCUUUAAAAAAUUAAAAUAUUUUAGUACGAAAGGAAUAAAUAUUUAAAUUAAAUUUAAAUUAUUGAAUUUUAUUAAUUUAUUUAUAUAAUAUAUUUUAAAUUGU
rnacentral:rRNA from 1 species